AGUGAAAUAUCGCCGUAGCAUUAGCUGGAUCGGCAUUAGCCGGAUUGCGUGUGGGAGAUAACCGUUGCUUCCACCUUGACCGGCGGCUGCGUUCCACAUUAACUGGGA
rnacentral:sRNA from 1 species